AGCUAACAGGAAACAUCGGUAACGCAAUAUAAUCGGCAGUUUAGACCCGCAGUCCCCUCCGGGGCGGUGCGUGCGCACCAUUCCUUGUAGCAUCAGCACCGUAGGCGACGUUUUAAGCGUCUCUUAAGGUUUCUAUUGAUCCACAGUCUGAAUUUCUAGGUCGAGAGGUCCUGGUGGGAAGAGCCCAGAGUGGGCUGGGGAGAAUGACCGGUUCUGUUCAGAGGUCCCGCAGGCUGGGGCCCCGGACUGGCCGCCGCAACCCGCAGAGCUACUGGGCCGGCCCCGCCCUAGGGCCAGGGCGGGUGACCCUCUGCAGGUGCGCGGCGCGGGCGGGGCGCGGGGCGGGCGCAAUCGGGCGUGGUUUAGGACCCGGGGCGGCUUCCCGGAGCGACAGUGGAACUCCGAAGUUGCGCCGGACCUUGGCCCUGACAGUCGGAGCUCUCCUCUCGAUCCGGCCGUCCUCCCUCCGUCCUCCCGCUGUCCUCCGUCCGCCGUCCUCAGCCGCCCGCCGUCCUCAGCCGCCCUCCGUCCUCCGCGCCCAGCCCUCCGCUCCCAACCCGGCGCCGGCAUGACGGGUUCGCUGUUCAAGGGGAACUUCUGGAGCACGGACAUUCUCAGCACCGUUGGCUACGACAGCAUCAUCCAGCAUCUGAACAAUGGCCGUAAGAACUGCAAGGAGUUUGAAGAGUUUUUGAAAGAAAGGGCAUCAAUUGAAGAGAAGUAUGGCAAAGAUCUGCUGAAUCUUUCCAGGAAGAAGCCAUGUGGACAGUCCGAGAUUAAUACCUUGAAGAGAGCCCUUGAUGUCUUCAAGCAGCAAGUGGACAAUGUGGCCCAGUGUCACAUUCAACUUGCGCAGACUCUGAGAGAGGAGGCCAGGAAGAUGGAAGAAUUCAGGGAAAAGCAGAAGCUGCAGCGGAAAAAGACAGAAACCAUCAUGGAUGCUGCCCACAAACAGAGGAACUCGCAGUUCAAGAAAGCCAUGGACGCCAAGAAGAAUUACGAGCAGAAGUGCCGGGACAAGGAUGAGGCAGAGCAGGCUGUCCACCGCAGUGCCAAUAUGGCCAACCAACGUCAACAGGAAAAGCUUUUCGUGAAACUGGCCACUUCGAAGACUGCAGUAGAGGACUCAGACAAAGCGUACAUGCUGCACAUCAACAUGCUGGAGAAGGUCCGAGAAGACUGGCAGAGUGAACACAUUAAGGCCUGCGAGGUGUUCGAGGCCCAAGAAUGUGAACGAAUCAACUUCUUCCGAAAUGCAUUAUGGUUACAUGUGAACCAGCUGUCACAACAGUGUGUCACAAACGAUGAAAUGUAUGAGCAAGUCCGGAAGAGUUUAGAAACGUGCAGCAUUGAGAAGGACAUCCAGUAUUUUGUGAACCAGCGGAAAACUGGACAGGUUCCCCCAGCACCCAUCAUGUAUGAGAAUUUCUACUCCCCUCAGCGGAAUGCAGCCCCACCAGCAAAGACUGCAGGGCCCCAUCCGGCAAGAUGACCCUGAUUACUCUUUGGUUGAAGAUUACAGUUUGCUCUAUCAGUGACAUCAGAGGUGAAAAGGAAGCUUUCCUCAGCUGCUGCUUCUGUGACACGAAGAGAGGCCCCGAGAGCAGCAUAAUCCAUAACCAAAUCUCAUCAAUCAUGAAGACUUUGAUGUGAACCGUUAUCAAAAAAAAUUCUUUUUUGAUAUUUUAAAUUUAUAGUAGACUCAACCUAGCUGAGUAGAGUUCUGCAGAGUCCUUUUUCUUUCUCCCCUCGGAGAGUUUACAUACUGUUCCAGAAGGAAGAAUUAUUAUUUCCUGGCUAGUUACUAAGGUUGUGAGUGUUUUCUGUCGGGGAAGCAAAGCCACUCUGGAUUCUGAGUGUUGGCUUGAGCAGGGGUGCAGAGGAUGGUGCCAGUUUCCAAAGAAGCAACUUGGGCUGUGGGAAGGAGGGCUGUUUUUGGACACAGGGGCCCCCUCCCUCCGUGGUGUGCUGUUUAAAAUUGCCUUUGUUCUUAGCUGGAAGAGGAAGAAGCAUCUGACUGGACUCGCUCCUUUCACAGAUCCAGCAGUGUGAGGAGAUCAGUUUCCUUACAAUCCCGACAGCCAGCGACAGAACCCGUCCUAGGGCACAACUUUCUGGCACAGUGCUGGUCUAGCCCUUUGUGCGGCUGCCAUGCUCAUGCAGACUGGGUGAGGAGUGAAGAUGCUGGGCAAGCAUGGUGACCUGAGCUCCAUCCCUGGAACCCACAUAAAGGAGCAAGUGGACGACCUGCUCCAUAUUGGUGCCUGGCCUCCACAUGUGUGCAUGGCAGUGAUUGACAUGUGCAGGUGCAGACAACCCCUGCCCAGACACAUACCCACACCACACACACACACAUACACAUACACUCACACACAUACAAACACACAGAGACACACACACACACAGACACACACACACACUUGCACACACACAUACAUACACAUACACUCACACAGAUACAGAAACACAUUUAAAAAGGAUAUUUGGCUAACAUUUUUUCAGCCAGUAAAAUGACUAGAAUUUAAAUGUCAGAAUUAUUUUUAUAAAAAAAAUGCAGCGUACUGAAUAAACCACAGACACAGACACAUGCGCAGAGAGCUUUUAAUCUGUGAGGCCCUGGAUUGUAAAGUGCCCUCUUGUCCGUUUCUAGGAAGGUAUGAUGGGGCUGCCGAUUACGUUUGUGGCAGUCUGUAGACUGAUUCUGAGACAGGAAAGUUGAAAAAAAAAUAGAUUCAAAAAUAUGUUAUUUUAAUGAUUCCUCAAAAGGAUUUAGGAUUUUUAAAGCCCUUAUUCAAUCUCAAAUAUUUACAGAAAGUCUCCUCCUGCUGUGCUCUGGAACAUUUAAAGAGGCAUGGCUCAGUGGUUAAGAGCGCCGACUGCUCUUCCAGAGGUCCUGAGUUCGAUUCCCAGCAACCACAUGGUGGCUCACAACCAUCUGUGAUGGGAUCUGAGGCCCUCUUCUGGUGUCCGAAGACAGUGACAGUGUACUCACACACUUGAAAUAAAUAAAUCUUAACAAAGAGGCAUUCUCACAGCAGGACGUGGACACUUAGGACAGAGUCUUUAGUAUUGCUUCUUACUGGCAUGUUGUAAAUGUCUGUGUGUCUGUGCCACGGCAUAGGACAGUCACAUUCCUGUCCUCUGUGUAAGAGCUUUCCCCAGGACGUUGGACAAAUUGAUUUAAAUAAGAUUGAACCCUGGGCCUGGUAAUCUCAGCAUGCGGGAGGCUGAGGCAGGAGGCUGGUGAGUCUGAGAUCAGCCUGGAUACACGGUGAGAACCCCUUCCCCACACAGAGAUCAGUUAUUUCUCAGCUAAGAUGCGCCCGGCUGUGGCAGCCUCGCAGCACGGCAGGGGAUUUGCACCAGUUGGGCAUCAUUUUGAGGAACUCAGGUUUGCAAAGGUCCAUCGACUUCCCCAAACUGGAUAACCUCAGGAAGUUGUCUAUUGCACAUAGAAGAUUCUGUUUUUAAGUAUAUUAUUUAUUGUUGGCCUUCAAUGAUCUGUAUUUUCUAUCAAUCAGCAUAACUGAUGUGAGCGUGUUUCAUGAGUGUAAAAUAAUAUUAAUUUUAUGGCUUUUCCCCCUGCUUGACAUGAAGUAAAAUAAAAGUUUCUGAUGAUUUGGGA